UACGUAGGGUGCGAGCGUUGUCCGGAAUUAUUGGGCGUAAAGAGCUCGUAGGCGGUGUGUCACGUCGGCCGUGAAAACCUGGGGCUUAACUCUGGGCGUGCGGUCGAUACGGGCAUCACUAGAGUUCGGCAGGGGAGACUGGAAUUCCUGGUGUAGCGGUGAAAUGCGCAGAUAUCAGGAGGAACACCGGUGGCGAAGGCGGGUCUCUGGGGCCGAUAC
rnacentral:rRNA from 1 species